UCGUGGAUUGAUUUGUCUGGUUAAUUCCGAUAACGAACGAGACCUUACUCUGCUAAUUAGCUGCGCUCACGGCUUCGUCCUUGGGUCUUCUUAGCAGCUUCUUAGAGAGACAGCUGGCGUUUAGCCAGAGGAAGUUUGAGGCAAUAACA
rnacentral:rRNA from 1 species